AGGCCCGAAGCUGGGCUGGAGUCUAUCCCUUUGCCCGGACUGGACUUCAGUGUUGUGGUACAAGAAUUUAUCACCCUGUAGUGUGAUUUAAGUCACACCUUGGCAGGAGUUACUUGGUGGCGUUAUUUUCUAGGAGCUGCCUGGCUCAGCCAUGCCUAACUGCCCCAGUUGCCCCGGGCAGAUCCCCUUGCUUAGGAGCUCUCCGAAGUGACCGGAGGAUCCCGAGGUGGAGCAUGCGGGAGUCGGGUUCGCCGUUCACGCCUGCUGCGGGGCUCGGUGCGCCUUGCAGAGCGGCCGCCUGCAGCUUGCAGCGCACCUGGGCCCGACUACCUGAUCCCGCCUCAGAGAGGGGCCCAGGCCUGGACCAGGGGCCCGAGCGCUGCCCGCCUUGGGAGAGCGUCGGGAGGACGCUGCUAAAUCCCCUUGCCUUCUGCCGCUCUGAGCUGUUGCACCUAUGUACUGAAACCUCUGAACUGUGAGCUAAAUAAACCUCCCCUUUACUUUGGGUGUUGGGUAUUUCGUCUCAGCAAUGAGAGAGGAAUAACUAACACACCACUGAUCUUUUCAGAUGAUAGGGCCCAGCAUUUGAGAGGCUGAGGCAGGAGGAUCACUAGGAAUUUGAGGCCAGCCUCAACUAUACAGAGAUGCUGUCACACACACACACAAAGAUGGUAGAAAAUAGUGAGAGUCUGGGUACCUCCCUGUUAGAACUUAGUUCCUUAAAAGGCUUUGCUCAAAGUUGAUGAGAGAGAAAAGCCAGACAGCCGGGCAUGGUGGCACACUCCUGUAAUCAGGAGGCUGAGGCAGGAGGAUCACUGAGUUCAAGGCCAGCCUAACCUGCAUAGUAAGACCUUGUCUCAAAAAAAAAACGAAAAAAGAAAAACCAGAAACUCCCCUUUGAGCAAGCAGAAACCUAUUAAAUGAAAUAAUAAAGUUUUCUACACAGUGGCAACAAAAGCCAUAAAAUACGUCAGAAUAAACCUCAUCAAGUUACAAAAUCUUUAUGAUGAAGCGUGGCUGAACUGCAGAAUAAGGCCAAGUGAAUGGAAAACAGAAGUUACUUUCUCAGGGAUCGAACUCAGGACCUUGCCCUUUCAAGGCAGGAGGCGACACGGCUGAGCUAAAUCCCUGGCCCCACACAAGCAUUUCAGAGAUUCUUUUUUCUCCCUUCAGUAGCCACUUCCUUCCUCUGGCCAAACAAGGGAUUUUUCUCCAGUCUUCAUGAGGCCCUGGUGGGGAUCUGGAGGUAAAAAUCCAAGCAAAUGUGGCUUCCGCCGAAAUCAAGGUCCCUGGAAAUUUUUGAC
rnacentral:lncRNA from 1 species